UACGAAGGGGGCUAGCGUUGCUCGGAAUUACUGGGCGUAAAGCGCACGUAGGCGGCUUUUUAAGUCGGGGGUGAAAUCCUGGAGCUCAACUCCAGAACUGCCUUCGAUACUGGAAAGCUCGAGUCCGGGAGAGGUGAGUGGAACUGCGAGUGUAGAGGUGAAAUUCGUAGAUAUUCGCAAGAACACCAGUGGCGAAGGCGGCUCACUGGCCCGGUACUGACGCUGAGGUGCGAAAGCGUGGGGAGCAAACAGGG
rnacentral:rRNA from 1 species